rfam:Capsicum annuum cultivar Zunla-1 unplaced genomic scaffold scaffold189, whole genome shotgun sequence
AACUCAUGAUCGGGACAUUGAGUAAGCUUUCCAUUGAAUCUUUCCCAAACAUUGUAUAAGGGUUCACCAUUCAAUUGCCUAAAGUUAGUGAUUUCAUCACGCAAUU